CCUACGGGGAGCAGCAGUGAGGAAUAUUGGUCAAUGGACGAGAGUCUGAACCAGCCAAGUAGCGUGAAGGAUGACUGCCCUAUGGGUUGUAAACUUCUUUUAUAUGGGAAUAAAAUGUUCCACGUGUGGGAUUUUGUAUGUACCAUAUGAAUAAGGAUCGGCUAACUCCGUGCCAGCAGCCGCGGUAAUACGGAGGAUCCGAGCGUUAUCCGGAUUUAUUGGGUUUAAAGGGAGCGUAGGUGGAUUGUUAAGUCAGUUGUGAAAGUUUGCGGCUCAACCGUAAAAUUGCAGUUGUAACUGGCAGUCUUGAGUACAGUAGAGGUGGGCGGAAUUCGUGGUGUAGCGGUGAAAUGCUUAGAUAUCACGAAGAACUCCGAUUGCGAAGGCAGUUCACUGGACUGCAACUGACACUGAGGCUCGAAAGUGUGGGUAUCAAACAGGAUUAGAUACCCCUGUAGUC
rnacentral:rRNA from 1 species